UUUUCCCAUCUAAAGGAGACUAUCUGUACUCAAAGCCACCACCUUAUACUGAACAUAGCCUAGUUGUCAAAACAGGAGCAUAGCCUAGUUAAGAUCAUUCAUAUUUCAAGAAAAAAAAUUAAAAGCUACACUUUACAUGAAAUUUUCCAAUUUUUAAACACUACCCCAUUCUAGAUUUUUUUAAAUCACAUUCUGGAUCAAGCAAAUUAUCAGCAGGUAAAUAGUACUUAAAAGAUGCUUUUGGCCUGGAACCAUUUACCCCUAACAAGGAUUCAAAACUGAUGGGGAGUAGAAUAAAAGUCAGGCAUCCUAGACCUCUCCAUUUUGUCUCUAGUCCUUUGUCUUCAGCCAUUCUCUUCUGAACUACCUGUGAACACAUCUAUGACAUGAAACUGGUUUUUGGGAGGGGCCUUUUUUUUUAACCAGUCCUGGGACUAGAACUCUGGGCCUGGCUUUUCAUUGUCUGCUAUCUUCAUUCCUUGAGCUACUAGCUAAGUAAGUUCAGUAGUGUAUCAAACUCUCCCUCAAUUGUUGCAGUUGGCAAUUAACCAGUUUUGCUGUUCAAUAUGUCCUAAAAACAUAAACUGGAUCAUACCUACUUGCUUGUUAAAAAUCCUUUUAUGGCUCCCUACAAGUAAAUUAGUUCAGUCUUUGAGGAUACACUGAAAUUCUUCACAUCAUCACUUCCCUGAGCUUUAUUUCCACAUCACCCAGAAGUACACACUAUUCCCCACAUUCAGCUUAUAUUUUAUGAUUCCAUGUUCUGCUUACUACUUUCUCUAAUCUUAUAAUUCCCAACUUCUUUAAGUAUCUUCUUCAUCUUUUAAAUGCUAACUAAAAGUUCACCACAUUUAUGAAGCAUUUACUAGGUGUCUCCAAACCAGAAUGAGCUGCUUUUUCCAAUGUUCUCUUUUUAAUAACUCUGUACAGUACUUGCUUUUUUCUACUUAUGUUAUAGUUAUUUAACUGACCAAUGGUAACUCUCCUUGUAGAAAGCAAAGACUUUCUGCUUAUGUUUUGUUUUCUCUGAAAAACAAGUAAAGACAAAAUGGAAUCUCAUGUUCAUACUAGGCUUUUACAAUGACCGUAAGUACUUAUUAGUUUACCAACUGGACUUCUAAUUUCACUAGAAUUUGCCACAUACAGAUUGCUCUAUAAACAUUUAUCAAAUAAUUAAAGGCAAUAAUCUGGCAUGUGAUCAAUUUCAAAGACUUUACAGCUUAAAACUAGAGGAACAAUGAAGGAAGGCCAUAAAAAUUGAUGAACUAUCAUAUCAAGAUUUACUAACAGCUGGGCACCAGUAGCUCAUGCCUAUAAUUGUAGCUACUCAGGAGGCUGAAAUUU